CUACGUGCCAGCAGCCGCGGUAAUACGGAAGGUUCGGGCGUUAUCCGGAUUUAUUGGGUUUAAAGGGAGCGUAGGCCGUAGAUUAAGCGUGUUGUGAAAUGUAGAUGCUCAACAUCUGACUUGCAGCGCGAACUGGUUUACUAGAGUGUGCACAACGUAGGCGGAAUUCGUCGUGUAGCGGUGAAAUGCUUAGAUAUGACGAAGAACUCCGAUUGCGAAGGCAGCUUACGGGAGCACAACUGACGCUGAAGCUCGAAGGUGCGGGUAUCAAACAGGAUUAGAUACCCUGGUAGUCCGCACAGUAAACGCUGGAUGCCCGCUGUUGGUUCAUUAGAGUCAGCGGCCAAGCGAAAGCAUUAAGCAUCCCACCUGGGGAGUACGCCGGCAACGGUGAAACUCAAAGGAAUUGACGGGGGCCCGCACAAGCGGAGGAACAUGUGGUUUAAUUCGAUGAUACGCGAGGAACCUUACCCGGGCUUGAAUUGCAGACGAACGAUUCAGAGA
rnacentral:rRNA from 1 species